AAUUAGUUGGGAAACUAAGCCAAAGAAGGUGAGAGCCCUGUAAGUGAAACUUCGUUUCCUCCGUUCUGGAUCCUGAGUACGGCGGGACACGUGAAACCCCGUCGGAAUCCGGGAGGACCAUCUCCCAAGGCUAAAUACUCCCUAGUGACCGAUAGUGAACCAGUACCGGGAGGGAAAGGUGAAAAGCACCCCGGGAGGGGAGUGAAAGAGUUCCUGAAACCAUGUGCCUACAAGUAGUCAGAGCCCGUUAAAGGGUGAUGGCGUGCCUUUUGUAGAAUGAACCGGCGAGUUACG
rnacentral:ncRNA from 1 species